CACACUUCCCGGUGCUCGUUAAAACCUUGUGCCGUGUCAAUGUUUGGCAUUGAGAAAGAUUUAUACGCCACUACCUACACGACCGCGGUUGCUCAUUUUACUCUGUAGUCAUUUAACAGGUUGUGAUGUACACCACCACCACCGCCCAAUGAGACCAUUCGUGCGUAAUGUUAAUUUCUGCGACCGGAUUAUUACACUCAAACACAUUUUUAGAGGUUAUGACCACCGUGUGCUGCUCAACAGACUUAGAAGCUGCAAAUAUUGAAUCUAAUACAAUUAAAAUAUCACCAGCUAGGAAAAAAAGUAAUCUGUAUGGAGUCCUUACACCUAAACAACUAUAAUUGUAAAAUAAAAGAAGAAUUUGGAAGAAUUAGACAUACUUAAAUUUAAAGUAUAUAUUCAUGAAACCAUAUUUGGCCGUUUGCCAAGUAAAGGGAUGAACACCACCUUACCACACGCCACUUUCUCAAGACGACCAUGUAUGUAA